UUAUUAUGAACAUCAUACUUGUAAGUGAGGAUCAUUUUUCCUGGGUUGACGUAAACAGACGGAUUUUGCGGGAAAACGAAUCUGACAUCAAACCACGAAACUCGGACCGAAGAUGGACAACUUGUGUAGCUUCAGUUUGAGGGAUCACUCGUUGCUGAACGAAAAUUAGGGAGAAUUCUGUGUGACAUUAUGUUAACAUUACCGGCUAUGGAAAAUGUAUUAAUGGACUAUACCCAUAUUAAAGCUUUCAGUGACUGAGACUGGGCACCGAGGGGAGCACCUAGGGAAGCAAGGGUUUUA